rnacentral:rRNA from 1 species
CCUACGGGUGGCUGCAGUGAGGAAUAUUGGUCAAUGGGCGCGAGCCUGAACCAGCCAAGUCGCGUGAGGGAAGACGGUCCUAUGGAUUGUAAACCUCUUUUGUCGGGGAGCAAAAGACGCCACGCGUGGCGUUCCGAGAGUACCCGAAGAAAAAGCAUCGGCUAACUCCGUGCCAGCAGCCGCGGUAAUACGGAGGAUGCGAGCGUUAUCCGGAUUUAUUGGGUUUAAGGGGUGCGCAGGCGGAAGAUCAAGGCAGCGGUAAAAGUGAGAGGAUAAACCGCUUCGAGCCGUUGAAACUGGUUUGCUUGAGUGAGCGAGAAGCAUGCGGAAUGCGUGGUGUAGCGGUGAAAUGCAUAGAGAUCACGCAGAACCCCGAUUGCGAAGGCAGCAUACCGGCGCUCAACUGACGCUGAUGCACGAAAGCGUGGGUAUCGAACAGGAUUAGAUACCCUUGUAGUC